UACAGAGGGGGCAAGCGUUGUUCGGAAUUACUGGGCGUAAAGGGCGCGUAGGCGGCCUUCUAAGUCGAACGUGAAAUCCCCGGGCUCAACCCGGGAACUGCGUCCGAUACUGGAGGGCUUGAAUCCGGGAGAGGGAUGUGGAAUUCCAGGUGUAGCGGUGAAAUGCGUAGAUAUCUGGAGGAACACCGGUGGCGAAGGCGACAUCCUGGACCGGUAUUGACGCUGAGGCGCGAAAGCUAGGGGAGCAAACGGG
rnacentral:rRNA from 1 species